ACGGACACAUCACGUUGAAACUCCGGUUCUCGCAAGAUCACCGAUGUUAAGAAACGUCGAGCCUGGUCAGUAUCUAUAUGGGUGAUCACUUGGGAAUACCAGGUGUUGUCA